AAAUUGAAGAGUUUGAUCAUGGCUCAGAUUGAACGCUGGCGGCAGGCCUAACACAUGCAAGUCGAGCGGCAGCGGAAAGUAGCUUGCUACUUUGCCGGCGAGCGGCGGACGGGUGAGUAAUGUCUGGGAAACUGCCUGAUGGAGGGGGAUAACUACUGGAAACGGUAGCUAAUACCGCAUAACGUCGCAAGACCAAAGAGGGGGACCUUCGGGCCUCUUGCCAUCAGAUGUGCCCAGAUGGGAUUAGCUAGUAGGUGGGGUAACGGCUCACCUAGGCGACGAUCCCUAGCUGGUCUGAGAGGAU
rnacentral:rRNA from 1 species